rnacentral:rRNA from 1 species
GAUCGGCCCGCGUCUGAUUAGCUUGUUGGUGAGGUAAUGGCUCACCAAGGCGAUGAUCGAUAGCUGGUCUGAGAGGAUGAUCGGCCACAUUGGGACUGAGACACGGCCCAAACUCCUACGGGAGGCAGCAGUGGGGAAUAUUGGACAAUGGGCGCAAGCCUGAUCCAGCCAUGCCGCGUGAGUGAUGAAGGCCUUAGGGUUGUAAAGCUCUUUCGCUCGGGACGAUAAUGACGGUACCGAGAUAAGAAGCCCCGGCUAACUUCGUGCCAGCAGCCGCGGUAAUACGAAGGGGGCUAGCGUUGUUCGGAAUUACUGGGCGUAAAGCGCGUGUAGGCGGGUCUUUAAGUCAGGGGUGAAAUGCCAAGGCUCAACCUUGGAACUGCCUUUGAUACUGGAGAUCUUGAGUCCGGGAGAGGUGAGUGGAAUUGCGAGUGUAGAGGUGAAAUUCGUAAAUAUUCGCAAGAACACCAGUGGCGAAGGCGGCUCACUGGCCCGGAACUGACGCUGAAAACCCAAAGCGUGGGGAGCAAACAGGAAUUAGAUACCCUGGUAGUCCCCGCUGUAAACGAUGGAUGCUAACCGUUGGGGGAGCUUGCUCUUUCAGGGGCGCAACCAACGCUUUUAGCCUCCCCCCCUGGGG